rnacentral:rRNA from 1 species
GACGAACGCUGGCGGCGUGCCUAAUACAUGCAAAUCGUGCGGACCUUGUUGAACUCUUGCUUUUAAAAGGUUAGCGGCGGACGGGUGAGUAACACGUUGACAACCUUCCUGUAAGACUGGGAUAACGCCGGGAAACCGGGGCUAAUACCAGAUCGUUUUUUCCUCCGCAUGGAGGAAAAAGGAAAGGCGGCUUCGGCUGCCACUUACAGCUGGGCCCGCGGCGCAUUAGCUAGUUGGCGGGGUAAUGGCCCACCAAGGCAACGAUGCGUAGCCGACCUGAGAGGGUGAUCGGCCACACUGGGACUGAGACACGGCCCAAACUCCUACGGGAGGCAGCAGUAGGGAAUCUUCCGCAAUGGACGAAAGUCUGACGGAGCAACGCCGCGUGAGUGAAGAAGGCCUUCGGGUCGUAAAACUCUGUUGCCGGGGAAGAACAAGUGCCGUACGAACAGGGCGGCGCCUUGACGGUACCCUGCCAGAAAGCCACGGCUAACUACGUG